CCCUUAGAUGUCCCGGGCCGCACGCGCGCUACACUGAGUGUCUGAGAUACGAGUCUGCCUAGCCGGCGAGGUCUAGGUAAUCGCUGAAAGACACAUCAUCCUUGGGAUAGAUUAUUGCAGAUAUUAAUCUUGAACGAGGAAUUCCUAGUAAGCGCAAGUCAACAGCUUGCGUUGAUUACGUCCCUGCCCUUUGUGCACACCGCCCGUCGCUACUACUGAUUGGAUGUUUAAGCGAGGUUCUCGAACUGCUAGCGACUUAGCUUCGGUGAGGUCGCCGUGUGGGAAGUGAACCUAGCUUUGGUGUCUAGAGGAAGUAAAAGUCGUAUCA
rnacentral:rRNA from 1 species